AUUGAACGCUGGCGGCAGGCCUAACACAUGCAAGUCGAGCGGAUGAAGGGAGCUUGCUCCUGGAUUCAGCGGCGGACGGGUGAGUAAGGCCUAGGAAUCUGCCUGGCAGUGGGGGAUAACGUCCGGACACGGGCGCUAAUACCGCAUACGUUCUGAGGGAGAAAGUGGGGGAUCUUCGGACCUCACGCUAUCAGAUGACCCUAGGUCGGAUUAGCUAGUUGGUGGGGUAAAGGCCUACCAAGGCGACGAUCCGUAACUGGUCUGAGAGGAUGAUCAGUCACACUGGAACUGAGACACGGUCCAGACUCCUACGGGAGGCAGCAGUGGGGAAUAUUGGACAAUGGGCGAAAGCCUGAUCCAGCCAUGCCGCGUGUGUGAAGAAGGUCUUCGGAUUGUAAAGCACUUUAAGUUGGGAGGAAGAGCAGUAAGUUAAUACCUUGCUGUUUUGACGUUACCAACAGAAUAAGCACCGGCUAACUUCGUG
rnacentral:rRNA from 1 species